rnacentral:rRNA from 1 species
AGAGUUUGAUCCUGGCUCAGAGUGAACGCUGGCGGCGUGCCUAAUACAUGCAAGUCGAACGAUGAAGCUUCUAGCUUGCUAGAAGUGGAUUAGUGGCGCACGGGUGAGUAAGGUAUAGUUAAUCUGCCCUACACAAGAGGACAACAGUUGGAAACGACUGCUAAUACUCUAUACUCCUGCUUAACACAAGUUGAGUAGGGAAAGUUUUUCGGUGUAGGAUGAGACUAUAUAGUAUCAGCUAGUUGGUAAGGUAAUGGCUUACCAAGGCUAUGACGCUUAACUGGUCUGAGAGGAUGAUCAGUCACACUGGAACUGAGACACGGUCCAGACUCCUACGGGAGGCAGCAGUAGGGAAUAUUGCGCAAUGGGGGAAACCCUGACGCAGCAACGCCGCGUGGAGGAUGACACUUUUCGGAGCGUAAACUCCUUUUCUUAGGGAAGAAUUCUGACGGUACCUAAGGAAUAAGCACCGG